rnacentral:sRNA from 1 species
AAAAAACCAUGUACUAUUCACCUCAGUUUGUACAUUGCGAAUUACAUGUACUUUCUUUUAGUCUAGGUAGGGUCUUUUUCGAUAAUUUAGAAAAAUUGUUUGGAAGAACUGAUGAAAAAUGAACAGCCAGUGAAUUAGAUGGAAAUAUGACUGUAAAUUUAGUUCAAAUUUAGCCCCAGCACCCCCUGUACAAUCCUAGAGUUCAAAGUUCUGUUAGCAGGCAACUGAAUAAAAUGACCUAGAUAACUUGGUCGGUGGAUCAAUUAAAUAUACUGAAGAAGUCAUUUUUUUUCCAUUGGUUGUUGUUACUUAGUCUCAAUGGCAACACAUUUAUUGGUUUGGUUUAAUUGGGGUUUUGAAGGAUUGGACAGGGUGUGCUUUAGAUAUGAAUUCUAAUUUUGUUGUACCAUUCUAAUAUGUAUGCAAUAAAUUUCGUUUUUAGUGUG